UACGAACCGUACAAACGUUAUUCGGAAUCACUGGGCUUAAAGGGUGCGUAGGCGGCCAUGUAAGUGAGGUGUGAAAUCCCUCGGCUCAACCGAGGAACUGCGCUUCAUACUGCAUGGCUUGAGGGAGACAGGGGUAAGCGGAACUGAUGGUGGAGCGGUGAAAUGCGUUGAUAUCAUCAGGAACACCGGUGGCGAAAGCGGCUUACUGGGUCUCUUCUGACGCUGAGGUACGAAAGCUAGGGUAGCGAACGG
rnacentral:rRNA from 1 species